rnacentral:lncRNA from 1 species
UGUGACGUGACUAACUGUUUCUGGUCAUUUUAUAUUAGACUGACAAGGGCCGUUGUGGAAAUCCAUCACCAGGUUUCGCCGUCUGUUUGCUCAGAACUUACAGGAUGAAGAACGUGGCUGUCGUCCUUGUUUUACUUGCAGUCACCAUACGCUGCGGGGCAGUGGGACAAUCGGAGCUGUGUCCGGGAGAUUUGCAGUGGACGUCCUGUGGGACACCGUGUCCGCUGAUUUGUGGACAAGAGGAAGCAGACUUCUGUAUGGAGGUGUGUGUCCCCGGCUGCGCAUGCCCACAGGACAAGGUCAGGGUCACGAGGACCAGCAGCCAGUGCGUGGAAAGCAGGGAGGACUGUCCGCAGUGAAACGGGGACCACUUUUGUCUGAGCAUUCUGGCAACUACUUUUCAUAUAUGGUGUAUACCUAAAUAAAAUAUGACAAACAACGUAAAGGUUGUCACCAGUUAUUUAUUUGUUAUUUCGGCUUUGUGAUAAUAGAUUU